GCCCUUGUAGCUCAGUUGGUAGAGCAUCUGAUUUGUAAUCAGAGGGUCGGGAGUUCGAGUCUCUCCGGGGGCA
rnacentral:tRNA from 4 species